UUUGAAUUUUGAAAUUAUUUUUAUAACUUUUAAUAGAUGGCAGUAGUGUGGUUAGGUGGUUUAUAAUUGGAUAGAUUAUUCUUUUUUGUAAUCCUUACUGAUGAAAUGUAAAACUGAUGGAAAAUAUGAAUCCAGGUAGUUUAUCUUUGCAUUCUUUGAACAUUGUGUCCAGGGUGGCUUUCAAUAAGUUUAGAAAAAAUGGAGAUUACACCAAUGUUGUCAUUACUGUUGGCAGCCAUGAUUGGAAAUGUCAUCAAUGUAUUUUAGCUGCUUCAUGUACUUCCCUUCACCUCUUGUUUCAAGCUGCGCAAUCACUAGAUAGAGUUAUUCCUACUGUCAUUAUGCCCGACCACUUCAAUGAGCAAGACAUUGAUUUAUGGCUGGAUGUUUUAUAUUUGAACACGCUGCCAAAUAACUUAGAUAGUGUAAAGAGAGUAUAUACACUUGCUGCUUAUUUAAAGAUGCCAACUUUAGAAUGUAUAUGUUCAAGUCACUUGGAGAAACAAAUGAAAAAAGAGGAAUGGAUUGAAUGGCAUUCAUCUACACUUAAAACUAUUAAGUCCUUGUGUAACUUACAAGUCAGGCAUGCAGGAUUGAACAAAGGAACACAUCAUAUCAAUAUAUUACCUCCUAAUGACAAGUUGGAUAGCAUUACCCACCAACCCAAAACAGGUGAAUUGCAAAAUGGCCAGGACAAUGAAUUUGAAUUAGAACCAUCAAUACCUCAAACUUCAGCUACAAAUGAACGCAUAAAACCAAGCUUACUAAGUUGCAGUCACUGUGGAAAAUUAUUUAAACGUAAAUAUGACUUGGUUGUUCAUGACCGACGCAUGCAUUCAAACAAACCAUUCCGAUGCCCUGUGUGUCCCAAGGAAUACGCUCUUAACAGAGAGUUACAAAUUCACUUACGAAUACACAAACCAGGGUUUCGACACCAGUGCAAACAUUGUAGUAUGAAAUUUAUCUCUACAGAAGGACGUAGGAAACAUAUACUGCAAGAACAUAAAACGUAUGCGUGCAAAAACAUAGGCUGCAAAUCUGCCUUUGUAAGCCAGGAGCUUCUAGAUCAACAUCCCUGCAUGAAAACCAAGGAGAAGAAACAUCAGUGUGAAGUUUGUGGCGUUACAUUUCGCUUGGCGGAAUAUAUGAGGCGUCACGUCAGCGCAGUGCACGUGAAGGAAAAACCAUUCAAGUGUACAGAAUGUGAGCGCCACUUCAACAGGCCUGAACAAUUAAAACUACACCAAAUCACGCACAGCAAGGAGAGGCGAUACAAAUGUGAUUUAUGUGGAAAGACUUUUCGACAACCAGCUGGCCUUUGGAAACACAAACGAAAACACAACGGAGGAUAUUUUGUAUGCGAGAUAUGUGGAUACAGCUGCAGGUCUAACAGCGUGUUGUCAAUGCAUCUAAAAUCCCAUGUUUCCGAUACACACAAUACUUGCCAGCAGUGCAAGAAGACAUUCAAGUCUUCGCAUGCACAGAACAUGAAGAGUUUAAACAGACAUAUGAAGCAGCAUUCGAAGAACACUUGACAAAUUGUAGCUCAGGCAUUACAAAAUAUACUCACUCAACGAACGCUACAAUAUAUACUUCAAGAAACAUACUGCCGAAGAAACAGUCACGAUUAAGAAAAAAUGGUCAGUUCAAAAUGAAAUCAAAAGCAACUAAAAAAGGCAUUGCACUGCCCGCAACUACAUACCAGUUAUACUGUAUUUGUAAUUUUUAAACAAAAUCUAAAGCAACUUUAAAAAGGCAUUGCACUGCCCGCAACUACAACCCAAUCAUACUGUAUUUGUGUUUGAAUAAAAACACCAAUAAAAGUGUUCACAGUGUCAAGUA